AUUGAACGCUGGCGGCAGGCCUAACACAUGCAAGUCGAGCGGAUGAAGGGAGCUUGCUCCUGGAUUCAGCGGCGGACGGGUGAGUAAUGCCUAGGAAUCUGCCUGGUAGUGGGGGAUAACGUCCGGAAACGGGCGCUAAUACCGCAUACGUCCUGAGGGAGAAAGUGGGGGAUCUUCGGACCUCACGCUAUCAGAUGAGCCUAGGUCGGAUUAGCUAGUUGGUGGGGUAAAGGCCUACCAAGGCGACGAUCCGUAACUGGUCUGAGAGGAUGAUCAGUCACACUGGAACUGAGGCACGGUCCAGACUCCUACGGGAGGCAGCAGUGGGGAAUAUUGGACAAUGGGCGAAAGCCUGAUCCAGCCAUGCCGCGUGUGUGAAGAAGGUCUUCGGAUUGUAAAGCACUUUAAGUUGGGAGGAAGGGCAGUAAGUUAAUACCUUGCUGUUUUGACGUUACCAACAGAAUAAGCACCGGCUAACCUCGUG
rnacentral:rRNA from 1 species